UACGUAGGGCGCAAGCGUUGUCCGGAUUUAUUGGGCGUAAAGAGCUCGUAGGCGGUUUGUCGCGUCUUCCGUGAAAACUGGGGGCUUAACUUCCAGCUUGCGGUGGAUACGGGCUGACUGGAGUGCGGCAGGGGAGACUGGAAUUCCUGGUGUAGCGGUGAAAUGCGUAGAUAUCGUAAGGAAGACCAGUGGCGAAGGCGGGUCUCUGGACAGUUCCUGACGCUGAGGCACGAAGGCCAGGGGAGCAAACGGG
rnacentral:rRNA from 1 species